UAGGUGGCAAGCGUUGUYCGGAAUUAUUGGGCGUAAAGCGCGCGCAGGUGGUUCCUUAAGUCUGAUGUGAAAGCCCACGGCUCAACCGUGGAGGGUCAUUGGAAACUGGGGAACUUGAGUGCAGAAGAGGAAAGUGGAAUUCCAAGUGUAGCGGUGAAAUGCGUAGAGAUUUGGAGGAACACCAGUGGCGAAGGCGACUUUCUGGUCUGUAACUGACACUGAGGCGCGAAAGCGUGGGGAGCAAACAGGAUUAGAUACCCUCGUAGUCCACGCCGUAAACGAUGAGUGCUAAGUGUGAGAGGGUUUCCGCCCUUUAGUGCUGCAGCUAACGCAUUAAGCACUCCGCCUGGGGAGUACGGCCGCAAGGCUGAAACUCAAAGGAAUUGACGGGGGCCCGCACAAGCGGUGGAGCAUGUGGUUUAAU
rnacentral:rRNA from 1 species